AAGUAAACUUCAUACACUUCAGUUAAGUUUGGUUUUAGUCUAAAACAAGAAUUACUUAAAAAUGAAUAAAUGAUCAUCGUUUGACGAUUUUCUUUUCAAACAGUUACUGUUUUGGGUAUGUAAAAAACUAACUCAUACAGUUUAUAACACAUGAAGUACAUUCAUGAAUGACUGCAAGUUUGACUGUGAAAAGAAACUCAUGAAUGACUGCAAGUUUGACUGUGAAAAGAAACUAACGAGAUAAGAUUAUAGUAUGUAUGGAGCUAAAAAGGACAAAUAAAUCAUAGUCUCUCUGUUUCGAUUUUUUGUAAUGUAGCAUCCUUCUCUCCAUGUGGUUUAUGAAUGGUCCCGUUUUAGAAUAAUCGUGACAAUGCAGCUUGUCCGUACAUGGCAAAGUUAAGAUUCUCUUCUAUCUAGCUUUUCUUUUUGUUCUCAUUGCGCACUCACAUUACGAGUGUGAGGACACACCGACCGAUUUGUCUCAUUUAAAGGUCUGGGCUUUGAUGUUCUUUGGGGUUUGGCCCGCUUAAAUUGAUUUACUUGUUUAGACAUUUCAUAUACAAAGUAGUUGUUCAAAUGAUGGGAUUCCUGACAUAGAAAUAUACAAGCAUUGUGUUAAAAAAAACAAAUACAAGCAUUAACCAUGAUGAUAAAGGUUAAGACUUUGAAGGCUUGAACAGAGUAUAUAUAAUAAAGGCGAUGAUACCUUUGCGCAGUCAUCUAAUCAUGGCAUAUCUUUGCAAGGAUCAAACAAGAUGUACACCUGGCACUCUUUAGUGAAGAUGUUCUGCAGGGGCACUCAGAUAAUGUCAGAGAAGGAUGAGCACUUGUUCAGGCUAGGGAAUUGCAGUGUGUGUGAGAUCUAACAAGCAUUAAGGUUUAGAUAAUGUAACCAUACAAGAGAUCUGGAUCUGGGUUAUAAGAAUGUUUACAUGUGCUUUGAGUUUUGGUUUUCAUGUAAUCUCAACAAGAUUGAUACUACUAAAGACACUUGUCUUUCUUGCGCUA